AGGCCGCUUCAAUAGCUUUGGUCAUUUCGGCACUACGACUUUCGCAAUUUCCCUUGGAGGUCGGAUCAUUGUGGCUGCACUUGUUUGAUGGUUGCGAUGGAGGUGUAUGUGAGGAAGACAGGGCCACUACGGGAGUAGUGCCCGCCCAAUUCUCAACUCUUUGGCCAGCGCCUCCUCUGGUCCCAAUACUGCACUAGUGGCAGACAACCCUGAUUACAUAUAGGAUCCGCGCCGUCGCGAGAUUGGAUUGGAUGUCAACACUGUAGUGGCUUUUACGUUUUUGCUGGGA
rnacentral:sRNA from 2 species